CAGAUACAUUCCAGUGUUAGUUCACCAUACAUAUAAAUCAAACCCACAAUCUGUUAAUUGUCUUAUUAUAUGAAGAAUGGUCUUGGGCAAAAGAAAGAAAGCAUCAUCCUUGCUUCAAAAGUGUUGCCAGCCUAAGCCAGAUAUGGCUACAACCAGUGGACACGAAUGCAUUUGCUUCAGCAAAAGAGACAUGUAUCUUAGAAACCUAUCAAAAAUAUUUGAAUACAGCUACCUCGGCAAUCUCUGCUCUACGGGCUCCUCCCCCCACCUUUCUUUUAACCUUUGCCUGAGAAGAAUUUAAAUGGCAUAUUUAGUGGCUGUAUAUUGUGCUUCCUGUACCCACUGCUGCAUAAAAGGGAUUGAUUUAAAUCGCUUACAGUAACCAUGUGGGGGAGGAGGGUCUAGUUUUCUGCACCAAAUGCUCCAGGAUGCAUAAUAAGCAACCACAAAUACAGACAACAAAUGAGUGUGCUUGCAUUUGUCUCUUCUCUGGUAAAGAAUUAUUCUUUAGUACGGAUGGACUGCACACUUUUAGCAUCAACAAGAGAGCAGCUCAGAUGUGCGAGCACCAAUAAAGGAUACUUAAGCCUCCGUCCCCCAGGGUUUCUUAAAAUGAGCUUAAGGACCAUUUGCCUUCCUGGAGAGAGAUGUGGAUGGAAGAGGUGUCCUGCUCCAAUCCAUGACUUUAGCAUGAGGAAAGCAUUCAGGAUGAAUGAAAGAAAGAACAGAGCAGAAUCAGGAUGCCUGGGUAAGAGACAAUAAGUCAAAAUAAGAUGAAAUGAGAACCCAAACUACAGAGUGGCAGCGAAAAUGCAGAGUGAAUGUGGAAAACUUGAUGAAGGUAAAAUCUGAAGAUCUUGGCACCUAAUUGGAUUCGCAUGAGGAGAACCAGAGAAGGGAGAGUCACUCAUGUCCGGGAGGAAAGAGCACAGCAUUUGUAACCUAGAAACCUGGACUGAAGGUCUUUAUUCUGCCAUUUACUAGUUUUGUAAACUCUGGGAAGCCAUUCACCUCUGAGUCUCAUUUUUAUCGGUUGCAAAACAAGGCUGGAAAUACCUACAAAAUAAAUGAGAAAAUGUAUUAAAUGUCUGAAAGAUGAUGAAAUGGAUCAUUAUUUAAUAAUAGUCACAUUAAUACUUAUGACUUUGAAGUCAUUUCUCUUUCUUGUGCCUCAGUUUCUUCAUUUGUAAAAGGCAGACCAAAGUGAACCCUACAGGCCCUUCUGGCUCUAACAUGUUUUCUAUCUACCUGGAGGUGAUCAGUUUGGUUUGUACUUAGUGAGUGUGGGCCAGCAUUCAUGUGAAAAGUUUCCUGAUCAAGUUGGUAACACAGAUCAGGACUUCUAGAGAGAUAUUUUUCAAAUGGCCACACGGGCCCCAAGGCAGUAUUGGGGAAUUGCCUAGGGAGCAUUUUUGAUUGUCAAAAUGAUUUGGAGGGCACUCCUGAGGUUAGAGGAUGGGAACCAGAGAUAUUAAUUUGUUGCACUAGGUGCAGUAUGAACACAACAAUGAAUUGUACUGUGCAUGUCCCUCGAGAUACUCGAGUAGGACAUUGAUACUCAAAGUGGGGUCUAGGGAUCCCUGGAGGUCCCUGAGUCCUUUUCAAGGAUAAUUCAAGGUCAAAACCAUUUUCACAGGAAGACCAUCACAUUAUGUGCCUUUUUCAUUGAGUUGAUGUCUCCAAUGAUGACACAAAAAGAAAUGGUAAGUGAAAAUGUUGAUGCUUUAGCAUUAAUCAAGGCAGCAGCACUCAACUGAACUAUACUAGUGGUUACUGUAUCAUUCCCUACUAUGCACUGGGUGUUAAACAAAAUCACCAACAAAACCUUCUAGUUUCAUUUAAGAAUGUCCUUGAUGAAGCAAUAAAAUUAACUUCAUUGAAUCUCAGCCCUUGAGUACAUACCUUCUUAAUAUUGUGUCUGGCAAAAUGCUGCAUAUCAAAAUAUAAUUUUGUUUAAAUUGCAAACUGAACUAGCCUCUUUUGUCAUGCAACAUCAUUUUUUACUUGAAAAAAGAAGUGACAUAUGUACUAUGAUUAUUCAGAUGCAUAUCCAGCAGACUACUUUCUCAGAAACAACAAAUAAUUUUUUUCAUUUCCAAGAAAUUACUUCCAAGAAAACAACAAAAGUACUUGUUGCCAAUGAUAAAAUUCAAGCAUUAAAGAAAAAAUUAGAAUUAUGGAAAAUUUGUACCUACCACCAUGAGCUUGGCUGCUUCUCAACACUAAAAGACCUUUCUGAUGAG
rnacentral:lncRNA from 10 species